rnacentral:lncRNA from 1 species
UUUUCCAACAUAUUCUUCUGCCACAGAAUUCCAGAUGAAGCUCUCUGCUGCACCAUCAUCUGACUUGUAGCACAACGGAGGAGUAUGGAGCUGGUUGUAGUUCAUGUCCCAUGUGGAAGCCAUCCUCGCAAGGCAAUGUGAGGCUCAGUGCGCCCUUCCCUCUAAUCUUGGAGGAUCAGCCUGGCUCAGCUGCUGGCAGCAUUGCUGUUCCUGGCAGACUUCCCUUCCCAACACAGAUGUGUGCUGCGAUCCCCAGUCUGCUGCCCAGCACCCUGCAACCCUUUGCUGCUUCCCAAGAGACCGUGACAUGAAGCUAACCAUGGACUUGCUGUCACUUGCACUGUACUCAUAAAUGGUGAUGUUUGCAGCAACGUGCCACCAGUGCCACAUCUUAUCCCCUUCUACCUAAGUCUUCUGGUCUGGUGAAUGUAAGUACUGUGCACAACCAGCUACACCAUAGUACACUUUUAAUCCUACUGCCUUUUGUGUGGGUGUCGUGGAUCUGUGAUAGGUUGAAGCCCCACACAGUGCAGCAGGAGCAUUGUAUCUGAGUGUGCUGUGUCACCCUGGCUCUGAGGGAAAGGGGCCAGUGGGAUUCCCUGAAUUUAAUUUAACAAAGGUGUCUGAGGUUGGCAGUCCUGCCUCAGCUCAGAGCUGCUGUGGGUGCUUCUGGCUCCCACAGGGCUCUUUGGAAACGCAGAUGCUUUCCAGCAUUAGGUCCACAGUGGGUGGUUUGUAGUGUUAAAUACAGCUCAUGAGGAUGAAAUCAUGUAGAUAAAAGGAAUAAAGCUCCUUCUUCUGGCUGAGCCCCUUGGAUC